UCCAGGGAGGUAUUAAGUUGGUGCAAAAGUAAUUGUGGUUUUUUGCCAUUAAAAGUAAUGACAAUACUGGCAAUUACUUUUCCUCCAAACCUGAUAUU
ensembl:miRNA mml-mir-548a mml-mir-548a